rnacentral:rRNA from 1 species
GCUGACGACAAUAGCGCGAUGGCCCAACCUGAUCCCUUCCCGAACUCAGAAGUGAAACAUCGUUGCGCCAAUGGUAGUGUGGAUU